rnacentral:pre_miRNA from 1 species
CAUAUACUCCCUCCGUUUGGAAAUACUUGUCAUCAAAAUGGACAAAAAUGGAUGUAUGUAGAACUAAAAUACAUCUAGAUACAUCCCUUUUUAUUCAUUUUGAUGACAAGUAUUUUCGGACGGAGGGAGUACAUA